UACGUAGGGUGCAAGCGUUAUUCGGAAUCACUGGGCGUAAAGGGCGCGCAGGCGGUUUUGUAAGUCUGAAGUGAAAUCCUUGGGCUUAACCCAAGAGCUGCAUUAGAUACUGCAAAACUCGAGUUCGGGAAAAGAAAGCGGAAUUCCUGGUGAAGGGGUGAAAUGCGUAGAUAUUAGGAAGAACACCAGUGGCGAAAGCGGCUUGCUAGAACGCAACUGACGAUUAGGCGCGAAAGCGUGGGGAGCAAACAGG
rnacentral:rRNA from 1 species